AAAAGAGAUAGAAGUGAUGCGGGAGCUUACAGAGGUGACUCUAAUGGAUCUUCCUUCAUGGGGGUUGCUUUUGGAUAGCCAAUUUAUACAUCCAAUAGGCCUAAAGCGGAGGCAACAAACCUUAACUCCUUAAUCCAAUACUUGGAGAUGGAUCACUUUUAAAAGAUAGAGAAAGAGAAAAGAGAUUCUAUAAUUGAAGAAGAG
rnacentral:lncRNA from 1 species